rnacentral:rRNA from 1 species
AUACGGAGGGGGUUAGCGUUGUUCGGAAUUACUGGGCGUAAAGCGCACGUAGGCGGAUUGGAAAGUUGGGGGUGAAAUCCCAGGGCUCAACCCUGGGACUGCCUCCAAAACUAACAGUCUAGAGUUCGAGAGAGGUGAGUGGAAUUCCAAGUGUAGAGGUGAAAUUCGUAGAUAUUUGGAGGAACACCAGUGGCGAAGGCGGCUCACUGGCUCGAUACUGACGCUGAGGUGCGAAAGCGUGGGGAGCAAACAGGAUUAGAUACCCCAGUAGUCC